GUUCAGAGGCAGCAGCAGCAAUCUAGCCAUGAGGUCAUGUGGUUAACAGUGGUUAAAAUGGAGCGAAGGACCAAUAGAAGAGAUAUUGCAAAGGGAGACCCAUAGGGUUUAUGGUCUUCUUAGACUUUAAAGGUAGGAGCCAAAGGAGAGGAAAGUUUAGACUUGAUAGUUCACAAUGGUGCCAUUGAUAGGAAUGUGGCUAUUGGAGGUGGAGAAGGGUAGUUGAUGUAUAUAGUUUUUGAUACAGGCUGGGAGUUCCCGUCGAGGCUCAGUGGUUAACGAAUCCACCUAGGAACCAUGAGGUUGUGGGUUCAAUUCCUGGCCUCACUCAGUGGGUUAAGGAGCCGGCCUUGCUGUGAGCUUGUGGUGUAGGUCACAGACGAGGCUCAGAUCCCGCGUUGCUGGGACUGUGGUGCAGGCUGGCAGUUGUAACUCCAAUUCAACCCUAGCCUGGGAACCUCCAUAUGCAGUGAGCAUAGCCCUAGAAAAAGACAAAAAGAAAAAGAAAAAAAGAAAGAAAUACAGGACUGAAUCCUGGACUGAGAAGAAGGGUGGAGCCUUGGGGAAGGUGCCUGCCUCUGGGAUGGAAAGCAGAAGCUGGAAGAGAACCAGAAGCCAAAAAGAAGAGAGUCUCAGGAAGGGAAGAGGAUGGAGCAGCAGAGACCAGGGAGAAGGGACCAGAGGGAAGGCUGCCGAAUUGGUGAUAAGGUGAUUGCAGCUGACUUUGGGGAAUGUGAUGCCACGAGAGGGGAAGCCACAUUGUGCAGGACUGGUCAUAAAUGAGGGAUAAAGAAUCAGACAUUAGUAAAAUAGACCACUUAUGGAGAGUUUGGAUGGUAAAAGAAGGGAGACACAAAGAUGUCUGUAUCUGCAUGCCAAAAAACCUUUUCUUUAGCUUUGAGGCAAGCAAAGCGUGCCUUGACUGGUUCUCAUGUCCUUCUCCAGAGCCAAGUGUUUGGGAGUUUAUGUGUACUUUGGGCUUGCGAUUGUGUUCUUAUGCUUACUCUGAGGUGUGGUGUUCCUGAGCUCUGCCACAACUUGCACCAGCGGAAUCCAGCCCAGGCUUGGACCCUUGCCAUGAGACAAGAUGUGAUCUGUUAGGGACAUGGUUGCAUUUGCCUCAAUUGGAGGAGAAAAUAGGGUAGAGCAAGAAAUGGAAAUGAAACUCCUUACUGCAGAGUCCACCCAAGUACGGGAAUUUGGGAUCAUUUCUCCAGUCACUCAACUAGAUAGCCAUUUAUGUUCUGAGCAUUUCGAGUGUAUGUUCUUGGGUUUGAAUUCUGAGUAGCUUUUGGCUUGGUUUUGGGGAAUGUAGCAGUUAGAGAUCGAGUCAUAAAAGCAGCACAUGGAACUGGUUUGGAUCCUCUGUUUAGUGAACUCUCACUGUGUACCAGGCACAGUGCUGAGUGCUCUACAAGUGUUAUUUUAUGUCAUCUUUGCAACAACCUAUGACAUGUGAAUUAGUGUCCCCAUUUCAGCAAUAAGGAAAUCAGAUCACAGAAGUUGGGUAGCCUGCCCAAGGUUACAAGGGAUUUGAACCCAGAGCUGCCUGACCCCUGGUCUGUGCUGCUUUCUGUUUUCACCCACCUAAGCCUGGAAUUUCUCCUCCUACUUAUAUAGAUGGACUGGAGGCAGAAUGAGUUCUUAAGGUUAAAUAUUCAGAGCUUCUGGUGGGUAUUUCUGCUCCUUAGGCAUCUAUUAAAAGGGUAGAAGAAGUGUGAGAUCCCUGGAAGAAACUAAGGCCAAACUUCAAACACUUACCUUAGGAGUUCUUUUGUGGCACAAACGGUUGAGAAUCCAGCGUGGUCACUGCGGUGGCUUGGGUGGAUGCUGUGGUGCGGGUUCGAUCCCUGGCCUGGAAAUUUUCACCUGCCACAGGCACAGCCAAAAAGAAAACAGAGGAGUUCCCGUCGUGGCUCAGUGGUUAAUGAACCCAAUUAGCAUCCAUGAGGACAGAGGUUCAAUCCCUGGCCUUACUCCGUGGUUAAGCCUCUGGUGUUGCCGUGAGCUGUGGUGUAGGUCACAGACGCAGCUCGAAUCCUGUGUUGCUGUGGCUCUGAUGUAGGCUGGCGGCUACAGCUCUGAUUGGACCCCUAGCCUGGGAACCUCCAUAUGCUGCAGGUGUGGCCCUAU
rnacentral:lncRNA from 1 species